rnacentral:rRNA from 1 species
GACGAACGCUGGCGGCGUGCUUAACACAUGCAAGUCGAACGAAGAGCGAUGGAAGCUUGCUUCUAUCAAUCUUAGUGGCGCACGGGUGAGUAACGCGUAAUCAACCUGCCCUUCAGAGGGGGACAACAGUUGGAAACGACUGCUAAUACCGCAUACGAUCUAAUCUCGGCAUCGAGGAUAGAUGAAAGGUGGCCUCUACAUGUAAGCUAUCACUGAAGGCGGGGAUUGGGUCUGAUUAGCUAGUUGGAGGGGUAACGGCCCACCAAGGCGAUGAUCAGUAGCCGGUCUGAUGGGAUGAACCGCCACAUUGGGACUGAGACACGGCCCAGACUUCUACGGGAGGCAGCAGUGGGGAAUCUUCCGGAAUGGACGAAAGUCUGACGGAGCAACGCCGCGUGAGGGAUGACGGCCUUCGGGUUGUAAAGCUCUGUUAAUCGGGACGAAAGGCCUUCUUGCGAAUAGUGAGAAGGAUUGACGGUACCGGAAUAGAAAGCCACGGCUAACUACGUG